rnacentral:lncRNA from 1 species
CCGAAAUCUCGAGUUUAAAGAAAUAUAGAAAUAGCGAUGGUAUGAUUUAGCUGUGUGACACUUCUCUUGGGUUGGACUGGGAAGAUAGGUUAGAGAAUGCUUAACACUUUUGGCAGGUUUCUUCUCCUCCUUCGCAGAUUGCUUCUUAAAGGAUGGGGGAAAAUGUAGCUACAAAGAAAAACAUACUUUAGGUUAAGGAAUAGAAAUAACUGCAGUUUCUUGAAACUCUCGGACGUUUGAUGCUUUGCUUGUGUUUGUAAACUCUCGUCUUUUUCUACAUGUAGGCUUUAAAAAUUAACUAGUUAAUUGGUUUCACAGUGUAGUAUUGUAGUUCUUUCCUGAGAAUGCAGAAACUUGGGUAAAUUAACUCUUAACCUAUACAUAUAUCUUCAACAGUAAAUGUUGAGUGUGGCACAAAAAAAUAGGGUGUAUCACAUUGCUUUUCAAAUUGAUUGGUGGCACAUUAGCUAUAGCUCUGGAACUUAAUUUUUUUCCAAAAGAGAUUUGGAAAAGAAAAUAAAAUACUAGGAAAACAUACCUUCCAAGGAAUGGAGCAAUUACUGUUGCUCAAUACAAAGUGGACAGCUAGCACACUUUUGACUUUUUCUAGGUAAAAUCACAUCAAACUUAAAAAUGGCUUCACUGACACAAUCAUAUUUAAAAAAAAAAGACAAGAAUUAUGCUAGUGGCAAAUAUCCUGUUGUCAAUCAGUCUUGCCCUAUCAGAGAAUCCAGUUAGUUGUAGAAUAGAGAUGCAGGAGAUCAAGGAAUUCAGUAAGUUAAAAUGGAG